rnacentral:tRNA from 2 species
GUAAAUAUAUUUCAAUGGUAGAAAAAGUACUUGUGGUGUAUUCUAUCUGAGUUCGAUUCUCAGUAUUUACC